ensembl:lncRNA
AAGAAGAAAUAAAACAUUAAUAUGUUUUGCAGGCAAAUAAGGAAAAAUGAAUAAAUAAUGAAAAGACACUCAGAAAUAAAACAGUUUCUAUUAUUUACUGAUGCCUAUCUGAACCUUUGUGAUUUUUUUUUUUUUUUUUUUUGGAGCAAAAAUGGAUGGAUGAGAAGGUGUUGAUUAUGACUGCCUUGCUCUAAAGAGCACAUAAACAUACAUGUGUUUUUUAGUUUCUUUUGUGCAAUAUUGUGGUGUACAAUAAAAUCAUAUGAUCAUUUUUGAAGCCCUCCUUUGUUACUCCUGCCCUCCUUUUAAAGGCUGUUCUCACUCAUUUCUUCAUCCAUUUCUUUUUUUAGGUGAGGUGUAGCAAAUGCACUCAACACUAGAACUAACUAGGCACAAACCUAAUUGGUUCCCAUGUGUAUCGUCAACAUGCCAGUUUUCAAUAUGUGAAAGUGAACAAGAUUUGUGAACUGGUUUCAUCUCUGACUUAACCCGUAUAAAACAGUGGCACCCUCUGGGGCCCACACUCUGAAAACCGCUGAAUUAAGAUGUCAUAGAGAUACAUUCUCACACACACACACACACACACACACACACACACACAAACACUAUCCACUUAAUGCACCCGCAUGAUGUGGAGCUCCCAACAGGCUGAAGAAAGUGGGUGGAGAAGAUUCAUUUUAUGUCUCAUCCACACUGGAUCCCAGGCAUGUUCAACACUUGAACAAAACCACGUACUCACACAAACGGACUCUGCAGGUAAGGCCUCCAUGUUAAUUGAGGUAAGUCUUUAUGUUUCACUCUGGAAUGCAUGUCAUUUAGGAGCAGAUGCAGUACUUUUCUAUUUAUUUCUGUUUGAGACAUCACCCUCUCUGUGAGAAACAUCUUAUAAUACAGGAAGGUGUGUGUAGGUGUGUGUGGAUUUUUUGUUUUGUUUCCUGACCUCUCUGAUACUAUAGGAGGAGGAUGAUAUAAAAAUGACCAGUGUUUAAGCUGUGGUGAAUUUAAAAUAUCUAUACUACAUUAAAUAUCUAGACCAGUUAUGCUCUUGGAAGACCACUAUCCUGCAGAGUUUAGCUGCAGUACUAAUUGAACACACAUGAACCAGCUAAUCAAGGUCUUUAGGAUUACUAGGCUGUGUCCGAAAGCUGAAACAUGCUGCCUCUGCAAACAGCAUACAGAGGUAGGGACAUCCUUCGUCUGAUGGAUUUUUGAAGGCAGAAUAGAUUUAUCUCUUGCUGCCUAUGGUAUCCCACAAUCCGGUGCUUUCGAUUCAGGGGCAGAUGAGCUAAAAUGGUGUCUGAAAAUUGUGGCUGGUGGUCAGUUUGUGUGUAAAUAUAUGUUUGAUCCACUUUUUUCUUUCAUUUCUAGCAAAUAAUGAAUAUUGUGGUUAUUAAAAAAAAUCGAUUUAGUUAUUACCAAAGCUUUCUUUGUUUAGUUGUAGAUCUAUUAGACUGUUAUGCUGCCUCAGAAGCCUGUCCGAAAUCAGUUUCAGGAGGUACCUUUAAAUGCAAAUGCUGCCUGUGUAGUCAUUGAGGCAACAAUUUAGCCAACAAUUUAUGUCAGCCACUAUUUAAACAAUUAUUCUCAUUAAAGCAUAAUUUUAUCAUUAGAAAGGUGAUACUUUAUUUUAUAUUCAAAGCAUUAAGUGUUUGGUAUAAGCAACAAUAGCGUAGGUCACAAAUUUAGUCAACAAAACUAUGUUAUAUUACAAGUCUCUAACUAAGAAGCUGGAUAGCCUAAUAUCAUUGGUGGGAUACAAGCCAACAUUUAAGACAUUCAAUGAUAAGCUUGUGUUAAAGCUGCUUUUACGCUCAACUUUUUCUUCUGUUUGUUUCAUGGAAGUAAGUCAUACAGGUUUGAAAUGGAAUGAGAGAGAGUAAUAAGAGAAUCUGUGGUUGAAAUAUUCUUUAAUGUGAAAGAGAAGUAAAAUGAUUUAUAAGAUAACAUUGACACUGUGGCCAUGGACGCUUUGUCUCCUGACAAAAGGAGUUUGCCUAUAGUUUUUUUCUUUUUUCUUUUUUUUUACCCUUACCAUUGGGAAGCCUGAUUAGCUGUAUAGUGCUUUCAUAUAUGGGUACAUUGAACUCUUUAUGUUGGUGUACAAUACAAGGACAAAUAAAUAACCAUAUUAAAUAUUUAUAUUUUAUAAA